rnacentral:rRNA from 1 species
GAUGAACGCUGGCGGCGUGCCUAACACAUGCAAGUCGAGCGAAGCACUUUAAUUAGAUUCUUCGGAUGAAGAUUAUUGUGACUGAGCGGCGGACGGGUGAGUAACGCGUGGGCAACCUGCCUUACACAGGGGGAUAACAGUUAGAAAUGACUGCUAAUACCGCAUAAGACCCCGGAACCGCAUGGUUCUGAGGUAAAAACUCCGGUGGUGUAAGAUGGGCCCGCGUCUGAUUAGGUAGUUGGUGGGGUAACGGCCCACCAAGCCGACGAUCAGUAGCCGACCUGAGAGGGUGACCGGCCACAUUGGGACUGAGACACGGCCCAG